rnacentral:rRNA from 1 species
GAUGAACGCUAGCUACAGGCUUAACACAUGCAAGUCGAGGGGAAACGACAUCGAAAGCUUGCUUUUGAUGGGCGUCGACCGGCGCACGGGUGAGUAACGCGUAUCCAACCUGCCCACCACUUGGGGAUAACUUUGCGAAAGUAAGACUAAUACCCAAUGACGUCUCUAGAAGACAUCUGAAAGAGAUUAAAGAUUUAUCGGUGAUGGAUGGGGAUGCGUCUGAUUAGCUUGUUGGCGGGGUAACGGCCAACCAAGGCGACGAUCAGUAGGGGUUCUGAGAGGAAGGUCCCCCACAUUGGAACUGAGACACGGUCCAAACUCCUACGGGAGGCAGCAGUGAGGAAUAUUGGUCAAUGGACGAGAGUCUGAACCAGCCAAGUAGCGUGCAGGAUGACGGCCCUAUGGGUUGUAAACUGCUUUUAUAAGGGAAUAAAGUGAGAGUCGUGACUCUUUUUGCAUGUACCUUAUGAAUAAGGACCGGCUAAUUCCGUGCCAGCCGCCGCGGUAA